UUGCUUGCUUUGGCAGUACAUAUACUAAAAUUGGAACUAUACAGAAAAGGUUAGUUAUGACUCCUCCACAAGGAUGACACGCAAAUUCAUGGUGUUCCAUAUUUUU
rnacentral:snRNA from 1 species